rnacentral:rRNA from 1 species
GAUGAACGCUGACAGAAUGCUUAACACAUGCAAGUCAACUUGAAUUUGGGUUUUUAACUUAGGUUUGGGUGGCGGACGGGUGAGUAACGCGUAAAGAACUUGCCUCACAGCUAGGGACAACAUUUGGAAACGAAUGCUAAUACCUAAUAUUAUGAUAAUAGGGCAUCCUAUAAUUAUGAAAGCUAUAAGCGCUGUGAGAGAGCUUUGCGUCCCAUUAGCUAGUUGGAGAGGUAACGGCUCACCAAGGCGAUGAUGGGUAGCCGGCCUGAGAGGGUGAUCGGCCACAAGGGGACUGAGACACGGCCCUUACUCCUACGGGAGGCAGCAGUGGGGAAUAUUGGACAAUGGACCAAGAGUCUGAUCCGGCAAUUCUGUGUGCACGAUGAAGUUUUUCGGAAUGUAAAGUGCUUUCAGUUGGGAAGAAAGAAAUGACGGUACCAACAGAAGAAGAGACGGCUAAAUACGUG